UAAUACGGAGGGUGCGAGCGUUGUUCGGAAUCACUGGGCGUAAAGGGCGUGUAGGCGGCCCGCUAAGUCUGAUGUGAAAGCCCGGGGCUCACCCCCGGAAGUGCAUUGGAAACUGGCGGACUCGAGUCCCGGAGAGGAGGGUGGAAUUCCUGGUGUAGCGGUGAAAUGCGUAGAUAUCAGGAGGAACACCGGUGGCGAAGGCGGCCCUCUGGACGGUGACUGACGCUGAGACGCGAAAGCGUGGGGAGCAAACAGGA
rnacentral:rRNA from 1 species